rnacentral:rRNA from 1 species
UACGAAAGAGGCUAGCGUUGUUCGGAAUUACUGGGCGUAAAGCGCACGUAGGCGGCCAUGUAAGUUGGGGGUGAAAUCCCGGGGCUCAACCCCGGAACUGCCUUCAAAACUACAUAGCUAGAGGAUGUGAGAGGAUAGUGGAAGUCCGAGUGUAGAGGUGAAAUUCGUAGAUAUUCGGAAGAACACCGGUGGCGAAGGCGACUGUCUGGAACAUUUCUGACGCUGAGGUGCGAAAGCGUGGGGAGCAAACAGG